UGGGAUUAGGGAUAUUGGUGCGGUUCAAUCUGACAACAAGAGUUCUUAAGAAUUGAACCAUCGUUAUUGGAUUGAGCCGUGCCAAUAUCUCUCCAGCCCUC
rfam:Punica granatum cultivar Dabenzi scaffold234, whole genome shotgun sequence.